rnacentral:lncRNA from 1 species
UGGUCAUAAGAGAUAUGGGUUCUUUGUUUUGGAGCAGACCCACUAAAUGGUCCUUGUUUUGGAGCAGACCUAGUGCAGAACAUUUUAAGGGAUUCGGGUGAUUCUUCUUCUUGUUCUGUUCGCGAUGUCAACCAUCGGAAAGUAUAAUAUCCAUUUCAAAAUUUAUGCAGACAGCUGAAUAUAGAGAUUGAAGUGCUUUGAAAUUUGUAAAAUACAUGAUCUAAUGGCUGAUGUUGUAAAAAAAAAAAAGAAAAAAAAAGAAAGAAAAGAAGAAGAAAAGGAUCAAUCAUUCUUUCGUGGCAAAGCUAAAACCUGAACCUUA